GCAUGAAGUGGACAUCAGUGGAUAUCUUUUCACGGUGCUUAACGUAAAAACUAUGGUGACUAGCAGGGGUACUCUUGACAACUCUAGUUUUUAUCGACUAUUAUACUGCUAAGGUGGAAAUACCUUAUUAGCAUUACAUUACUACGUUUGAGAGAACGCUUUAUUUUCAACGUGUUAUACAUUUAAAAACAAUCUGUCUCGGUAAAAUUCAGUAUUUGCUUUCUAUUGUGUGUGAACUUGGUGUCUAAAGUUCCGUGUGGUUGAACAAUAUUUUAACUGAGAACAUUGUUUAAAAUGCCAGGACGCAGGAAAGUGUCACUGAGGCAAAUGGAGCUGCUUCUAGAGUUUGCGCAUUCCCAUCGCGACAUAGCGUUGGGCCGCUUUCCGCCAGGUCCUCAGGGAGUGCGGGACACUCGAGAAGCAUGGCGGUCGAUUUCGGUGGCACUUAACUGUGUCGGCAGCGGAGCCACUAAAACGCCGGACCAAUGGCGCCGAUAUUGGAUAGAGUUCAAAGCAAAAACAAAAGGAAAAGCUGCAGACAUGCGGAGGAGCACAUCUGCGACUGGUGGAGGCCCUAACAGGCUGGUCCCUCUUAACUAUAUAGAGGAAAAGGUGCUGGCUUUGUUAGGCCCUGUUGUGGUUGAGGGAUUGCCUGGUGUGCGCUUGCCCAUUGAUGUUAGUUUAAUUUCAUAUAAAUAUAAUUUAAGUUUUAUUGUCAUCCGCUUCAUUGAAACUACUACUUUAUUUGUCAGGAUGUUAUGUGGUUUCUUUACGCAUAUUGAAAAGAAAAUUAUUUCUUCAGAUAUUGUCACUUGGUGACCCACCAACUUCCCAGCCAUCGAUGUCUGGAGCUGUGGCUGUACACACCUCACAGCCUCCGGUGCCUCCUAAGCCCUCAACCUCUACUUAUGAUGAGCAGAUAAUGGAGGUUGAAUGGCUUGACGACAGCCUUCUAGG